rnacentral:piRNA from 1 species
UUCUUAACUAAGCUCUGGUGCAGAGGAUUU